CCUCGUGCCCGGAGGUCAUGGCCGUGCGGGAGGAGCCCUACAGCGGCGUCGCCGGCGCCGUGAUGCCCAACAGCAGGUGCUGCUGGAGGCAGCCGGAGGAGGGAAUUGAUGGUCGUGCCGCUGGAUGCAGCGGUACAACGCAGCACGUGAGACCAAUUCCUCAAUCUCCUGCCCAUGUUUGUAGCUGGAUUUUUUUCAAGGGAGAAGAAAUGCAUCUCCUUUUAACGCUUUGGUUGCACAUGGGUUCAAAUCAGCUGUAUGAAAAACAUCUGUGCAUAUAUACUUUGAGAAA